GCUGGGCGUGGUGGCGCACGCCUGUAAUCCCAGCUACUCAGGAGGCUGAGGCAGGAGAAUCGCUUGAACCCGGGAGGCGGAGGUUGCAGUGAGCUGAGAUCGUGCCACUGCACUCCAGCCUGGGCAACAGAGCGAGAAUCAGUCUCAA
rnacentral:SRP_RNA from 1 species